UCCCGCGGGAGCGCGCGCGCGUCGCCGACCCGCCGCGGGCGUUCGCGCUCGGUUCAACGGCGCGGAAGGCUUCGAGACGCGUCGCGUUUCCAAGAGUGGCCGCGCGGCGGCCUGCACUUUUCCUUCGCCGCAGUGCGUCGCGAUCCGUUGGUGGGCGGCCGAAGGCCCGGAGCGACUUUCCCCGCGGGCGUCCCUCUUCGCGGGGGGGCGCGCCGCCGGGGUGCGCCCGGCGUGCGCGCGGCRGAGCGGCUCCCUUCUCGGGGGCGCUGCCGUCGCGGCUUCCUGGCCGCCGGACGAGAGACCGGCCCCGUUCGGGGCCGGCGUUUACGACGGUCUUGAAAUACGCGGAAGAAAUGGGCCGGGUUAGAUUCCCGGGACGGCUCUCCGGAACGCGGUUACCAGCGCGCCCGCGGCGUCGCCGGGCUCCGGGCAAAAACUGCCCCUCUUUCCUUUCGGGGGGGGGGCGACCGGCAGCUCGUCCGUCGAUCGGGCGCGCAGUGACAGGAGAGGGGAUGUAGAAGCCACGCGAGCUCCAUCGCGAACAAUCGGCGGCGUGAGUCUCCGGUUACUUUCCGACCCGUCUUGAAACACGGACCAAGGAGUCUAACAUGUGCGCGAGUCAAUGGGUCUCCCGAAACCCACGGGCGCAAUGAAAGUGAAGGCUGCCGCUCGCGCGCGGCGUCGGGCGCUUCGCGGCGCUCCGGCGUCGCCGCGCGCGCGGGGGCGUAGGGAAGAUGGCGCGGGGGGCGCGCGCCGCCUCGCGCGGCCGCGCCGCCUCGGCCCGCACUCCCGGGGCGUCGUUUUCGGCGCACCCAGAGCGUACACGUUGGUACCCGAAAGAUGGUGAACUAUGCCUGGCCAGGACGAAGCCAGGGGAAACCCUGGUGGAGGUCCGUAGCGAUUCUGACGUGCAAAUCGAUCGUCUGAGCUGGGUAUAGGGGCGAAAGACUAAUCGAACCAUCUAGUAGCUGGUUCCCUCCGAAGUUUCCCUCAGGAUAGCUGGCGCUCGCGCGCGGGAAACAGAAAGGACGAAUCUCGUCCGGUAAAGCGAAUGAUUGGAGGCCUUAGGGCCGAAACGACCUUAACCUACUCUCAAACUUUAAAUGGGCGAGACCUCCGGCGUGCUCGAAGAGGGGCGGGUUCCGAGCCGCCCCCGUGACGCCGGAGACCGGAUCACGAGUGCCCAGUGGGCCACUUUUGGUAAGCAGAACUGGCGCUGUGGGAUGAACCAAACGCCGAGUUAAGGCGCCCAAAUCGACGCUCAUGGGAUACCAUGAAGGGCGUUGUUUGCUUAAGACAGCAGGGAUGUGGCCAUGGAAGUCGGAAUCGUCUAAGGAGUGUGUAACAACUCACCUGCCGAAGCAACUAGCCCUGAAAAUGGAUGGCGCUGUAGCGUCGUGCCUAUACUCGGCCGCCGGCGGCAAGGAGAAGGGCGCCCCGCACGAAUCUCCGCGUCGGGGGCCGCCGCGCUUGCGCGGCGGCAGGGGCCCUGUUAGGCCCCGGCGAGUAGGAGGGUCGCGACGGUGAGCGCAGAAGGGUUGGGCGCGAGCCUGCCUGGAGCCGCCGUCGGUGCAGAUCUUGGUAGUAGUAGCAAAUACUCUAGCGAGGCCCUGGAGGGCUGAGGCGGARAAGGGUUUCGUGUGAACAGCCGUUGCACACGAGUCAGUCGAUCCUAAGCUCUAGGAGAAAUCCGAUGUCKAUCGGGCCGAUCGACGAAACAGAACGAAAGUUAAGCAAUUGAGAGAGAGAGAGAAGUCGGCCCGGGAGGGCGAAAGGGAAUCCGGUCCCUAUUCCGGAACCCGGUCGCGGAACCGUCUCACGUCGGGCCCCCCGCUUCGCGGCGGGAAGCUCGUCGGGGUAACCCAAACUGACCCGGAGAAGCCGUCGGGAGGUCGGGGAAGAGUUGUCUUUUCUGUUUGAGCGUUCGGGUUCCCUGGAAUUGCCUAGCGCAGAGAGAGGGAAUGGAGCGCGUAGAGCACCGC
rnacentral:rRNA from 1 species